AUGAACGCUAGCGACAGGCCUAACACAUGCAAGUCAGGGGCAGCACAAGGAGCAAUCUGAGGUGGCGACCGGCGCACGGGUGAGUAACACGUAUGCAACCUGCCUGUAAGCGGGGAAUAACCCGUUGAAAGACGGACUAAUACCGCAUAAUACUAAAUUACUGCAUGGUGAUUUAUUUAAACAUUUAUGGCUUACAGAUGGGCAUGACGCAUGAUUAGCUAGUUGGAGAGGUAACGGCUCCCCAAGGCAACGAUCAUUAGGGGUUCUGAGAGGAAGGUCCCCCACACUGGUACUGAGACACGGACCAGACUCCUACGGGAGGCAGCAGUGAGGAAUAUUGGUCAAUGGACGAGAGUCUGAACCAGCCAAGUCGCGUGCAGGAAGAAUGUCCUUAAUGGAUUGUAAACUGCUUUUGCAGGGGAAUAAAGUGCAUCACGUGUGAUGUUUUGUAUGUACUCUGCGAAUAAGGAUCGGCUAACUCCGUGCCAGCCGCUGC
rnacentral:rRNA from 1 species